GGCGGACGGGUGAGUAAUGCCUAGGAAAUUGCCUUGAUGUGGGGGAUAACCAUUGGAAACGAUGGCUAAUACCGCAUAAUGCCUACGGGCCAAAGAGGGGGACCUUCGGGCCUCUCGCGUCAAGAUAUGCCUAGGUGGGAUUAGCUAGUUGGUGAGGUAAUGGCUCACCAAGGCGACGAUCCCUAGCUGGUCUGAGAGGAUGAUCAGCCACACUGGAACUGAGACACGGUCCAGACUCCUACGGGAGGCAGCAGUGGGGAAUAUUGCACAAUGGGCGAAAGCCUGAUGCAGCCAUGCCGCGUGUAUGAAGAAGGCCUUCGGGUUGUAAAGUACUUUCAGUUGUGAGGAAGGGUGUGUAGUUAAUAGCUGCNUAUCUUGACGUUAGCAACAGAAGAAGCACCGGCUAACUCCGUGCCAGCAGCCGCGGUAAUACGGAGGGUGCGAGCGUUAAUCGGAAUUACUGGGCGUAAAGCGCAUGCAGGUGGUUCAUUAAGUCAGAUGUGAAAGCCCGGGGCUCAACCUCGGAACUGCAUUUGAAACUGGUGAACUAGAGUGCUGUAGAGGGGGGUAGAAUUUCAGGUGUAGCGGUGAANUGCGUAGAGAUCUGAAGGAAUACCAGUGGCGAAGGCGGCCCCCU
rnacentral:rRNA from 1 species